rnacentral:rRNA from 1 species
GAGUUUGAUCCUGGCUCAGAUUGAACGCUGGCGGCAUGCCUUACACAUGCAAGUCGAACGGCAGCACGGGAGCUUGCUCCUGGUGGCGAGUGGCGAACGGGUGAGUAAUGCAUCGGAACGUAUCCUGGAGUGGGGGAUAACGUAGCGAAAGUUACGCUAAUACCGCAUAUUCUGUGAGCAGGAAAGCGGGGGACCUUCGGGCCUCGCGCUCUUGGAGCGGCCGAUGUCGGAUUAGCUAGUUGGUGAGGUAAAGGCUCACCAAGGCGACGAUCCGUAGCAGGUCUGAGAGGAUGAUCUGCCACACUGGAACUGAGACACGGUCCAGACUCCUACGGGAGGCAGCAGUGGGAAUUUUGGACAAUGGGGGCAACCCUGAUCCAAGCCAUGCCGCGUGAGUGAAGAAGGCCU